AUUGAACGCUGGCGGCAUGCCUUACACAUGCAAGUCGAACGGUAACAGGUCUUUCGGGAUGCUGACGAGUGGCGAACGGGUGAGUAAUACAUCGGAACGUGCCUAGUAGUGGGGGAUAACUACUCGAAAGAGUGGCUAAUACCGCAUGAGAUCUAUGGAUGAAAGCAGGGGACCUUCGGGCCUUGUGCUACUAGAGCGGCCGAUGGCAGAUUAGGUAGUUGGUGGGAUAAAAGCUUACCAAGCCGGCGAUCUGUAGCUGGUCUGAGAGGACGAUCAGCCACACUGGGACUGAGACACGGCCCAGACUCCUACGGGAGGCAGCAGUGGGGAAUUUUGGACAAUGGGGGAAACCCUGAUCCAGCAAUGCCGCGUGCAGGAUGAAGGCCUUCGGGUUGUAAACUGCUUUUGUACGGAACGAAAAGUCUUGGGUUAUUACCCUGGGAUCAUGACGGUACCGUAAGAAUAAGCACCGGCUAACUACGUGCCAGCAGCCGCCGUAACAC
rnacentral:rRNA from 1 species